GGGGAAUUGUUCGCAAUGGGCGCAAGCCUGACGACGCAACGCCGCGUGGAGGAUGAAGAUCUUCGGGUCGUAAACUCCAGUCGAGCGGGACGAACACUUUUCGGGUGAACAGCCCGGGGAGCUGGCGGUACCGCUACAGGAAGCCCCGGCUAACUCCGUGCCAGCAGCCGCGGUAAUACAGAGGGUGCGAGCGUUGUUCGGAAUUAUUGGGCGUAAAGAGCGCGUAGGCGGUUUGCUAAGUCUGGUGUGAAAGCCCUCGGCUUAACUGAGGAAGUGCAUUGGAUACUGGCAGGCUUGAGUGUGAGAGAGGAGAGUGGAAUUCCUGGUGUAGCGGUGAAAUGCGUAGAUAUCAGGAGGAACACCGGUGGCGAAGGCGGCUCUCUGGAUCAUAACUGACGCUGAGGCGCGAAAGCGUGGGUAGCAAA
rnacentral:rRNA from 1 species